rnacentral:rRNA from 1 species
UACGUAGGGGGGCAAGCGUUGUCCGGAAUCAUUGGGCGUAAAGCGCGUGUAGGCGGUCCGGUAAGUCCGCUCUGAAAGUCCAGGGCUCAACCCUGGGAUGCGGGUGGAUACUGCCGGGCUCGAGUCCGGAAGAGGCGAGUGGAAUUCCCGGUGUAGCGGUGAAAUGCGCAGAUAUCGGGAGGAACACCAAUGGCGAAGGCAGCUCGCUGGGACGUGACUGACGCUGAGACGCGAAAAGCGUGGGGAGCAAACAGG